rnacentral:rRNA from 1 species
UACGUAGGGGGCAAGCGUUGUCCGGAUUUAUUGGGCGUAAAGAGCGUGUAGGCGGCUUGGUAGGUCUCGCGUCAAAACCUGGGGCUCAACCUCAGUUCGCGUGGGAAACCACCUAGCUAGAGUCCGGAAGAGGAGAACGGAAUUCCCAGUGUAGCGGUGAAAUGCGCAGAUAUUGGGAAGAACACCAGUGGCGAAGGCGGUUCUCUGGGACGGUACUGACGCUGAGACGCGAAAGCGUGGGGAGCGAACAGG